rnacentral:rRNA from 1 species
AGCAGCCGCGGUAAUUCCAGCUCCAAUAGCGUAUAUUAAAGUUGCUGCAGUUAAAAAGCUCGUAGUUGAAUUUCGGGACUAAUAUGUUGGUCGUGCCUCGGUACGUACUGAUAUUUUUGGUUUCUCCCUUCUGACGAACCUUGAUGUCAUUAAUUUGGUGUCUUGGGAAAUCAGGACUGUUACUUUGAAAAAAUUAGAGUGUUUAAAGCAGGCUCACGCUUGAAUACAUUAGCAUGGAAUAAUGAAAUAGGACGUUUGAUUCUAUUUUGUUGGUUUCUAGGAUCGACGUAAUGAUUAAUAGGGAUAGUUGGGGGCAUUAGUAUUCAAUUGUCAGAGGUGAAAUUCUUGGAUUUAUUGAAGACUAACUACUGCGAAAGCAUUUGCCAAGGAUGUUUUCAUUAAUCAAGAACGAAAGUUAGGGGAUCGAAGACGACCAGAUACCGUCGUAGUCUUAACCAUAAACUAUGCCGACUAGGGAUCGGAUGAUGUUAAUUUUUAAUGACUCAUUCGGCGCCUUACG